rnacentral:lncRNA from 1 species
GGACAGUUUGCAGUAGCUCUAGCCCUAAGACAGACACAUGUGCAGGACACAGCCACGGUAAAGGCUGCAGAGCACAUGGAAAUUGAAGCCAUGUGGGACUUAACAAGAGAUCAAAUGGUAUCUUAAACAUCCCAGGGCAGCUGCCCUGUCCCCAGAGCCUGGGGCGGCCUCUGUGAAGGGGCCCCUCUUUCCUGGUGUUCUGGGUCCCUCUCCUCCCAGCUCCACUGCAGCACCUCAACUGUCAACUGAUGAAUCUGAGCUCAUUUGCUGAAGGGAUAAACCAACCAGUGAAUCUCAACUCCAUCCUUCUACCACUCGGGCCUUAACUCUAGUGCCAGACAAGAGAAAGGGAAAAAUUCUUGGAACCUCUAGAGCUAGCCACACUUGAAAAAGAGAAGAGCUAGAUGUCUUUUGAACCAUCCUGUCUGCUUGACCAGUAGGACUGCUCUGUAUCAGUGCCUAAGUCCCUCCCUAUGGGGUCUCCUUCUUGUCUUAGAGUCAGUUGAGGGGAGCCCCCAAUGCCUUUCUCCCUGUUGCUCAUGAAGGACACUACUGGUUGACCACAGCUCUUUCCCAUGCUGCUCUGGACAGCAGUCACAUCUUUGCCAUUAUGGAACUAGCUAGCAAUCAUGCCUCAUGCUGUCACCUGUAAGAAGGGAGAGUAUUUACUCCCAUAGCCCAUGAGCAGUGUCUACAGCUGUGGACUGUCCAGAGACUAGAUAACCAGUGAUUCAGAAGCCUGGCUGCAGAUCUGGUCGCUUGAAUAAAAAUGCCCCACGUGCCUAGAGGGGGUGGCACUAUUAGGAGGUGUGACCUUAUUGGGAUAGGUGUGGCCUUGCUGGAGGAACUUUGUCCUUGUGGGGACAAGCUUUGAUAUCUCAGAAGCUCAAGUCAGUUCACUUCCACUGCCUGUGGAUCAAGAUGUAGAACUCUCAGCUCCAUCUUCAGCACCAUGGCCGGACUGCUUCAUACUGCCGCGUUUCCCACCGUGAUGAUAAUAGACUAAACCUUUGAAACUGUAAGCCGGCCCCAAUUAAAUGUUUUCCUUUAUCAGAGUUGUCACGGUCACAGUCUCUCUUCAUAGCAAUAAAAAUCCUAACUAUGACA